rnacentral:misc_RNA from 1 species
UAAUAAUAGCAUAUAUUCAAGAUAUGCAUGCAUGCAAAAAGAUGAUGAAGAUCUAUUCCCAUGAGCACUAUAACACCUGAAAAUAUCUCAAGAUGUAUAGAGCCAAGAUCUUUUUCACCUCAUUUUGCUUCCACAGAAAAAGAAAAUAAAAGAAAAUCUAAAAAGAAAAUGAAAUUAAGAACCCUGAACGGAUUCUUUUUUCUUUUCCAUCUAUCAUGCACAAGCAGACGCAACUAUGGAAAUUAAUU